rnacentral:lncRNA from 13 species
CCACAAUCCCAUGACCUACAAAAACCCCAAGACAAAACACACCACAUAAAUAACCCAUGUCACACCCUGGCCUGACCAAAAUAAUAAAGAAAACACAAAAUACUAAUACCAGGGCGUGACACAAGCCUACAGACAAUCAACAGAGUAAGUUGAAAUGUUAUUUUAUUCCUGUUUUUUAGCAAGCUAAUUCCCAGCACCACUAGUGUGUAAAUACUAGCAGUGCUAAAAGCAGAUAGGGGCUGCUAAAGUUUUUUUUAUUUUUAAUUCAGCCACACUAACCGGCUGACCGCGCCCAUUGCCAUGCCCCCUGCCACGGCCUUUUAUAUUCCGAAAAAAAAAACUGUAUAAAAUAUAAACUCCUUCCUUUCAUUGUAAUGCAUGCAUGAGUCUCAAUAAAUAAAUAACAAAAUAGUGUAGUUAUGGUAUCAGAUCUGUCAAUCAAUCACACACACUCAUUACUUUGACUCUAUCAUUCAGUUAUUCUACAUGACUUUAAAUGUUUUGUUCAUUUUAAUGUAAUUUUAUUUACAUUAUAUGAAUAUUGAAUAGUGUUUUGACACCCCUACAGGAAGAGCAGGCCAACACUCACCUGUCCAGGUACAGGAAGCUGCAGCAUGAGCUGGAGGAAGCUCAGGAGUCACAGGUCAACAAAAUGAGAGCAAAGAGUUGUGAAGUUGGCAAGGGAAAAGAAGCUGACAAAUUAAGUGCAGCCCUGAAGAGAGACAUCAUCAACAAGGAGUCAUACAACAUGAGUUCCCAAUGAAAUGUUCUCGUAUAAAAUAGUAAUACAAUAAAGUGAGCUGACAAAGCCUGUAAAUCUCCUUGUUUUUGUGAUUUCUUCCUAUCAUUAUGCUACAAUAACGUAUCGUAUUGGUAGUUAAUGUUUUGUUUUAGCUAAUGGGUUGUGUUUUUGUAUGCAAUUUUCCAUUAUACUUUCUACAAUGUUUAUAAAUUGUGAAAAAAUAAAUAUGGUGGCCCCUAGGGUUUAAGGAUAGGCAACACACACCAUUAAAAUUCUCAGUGGGAGAAUCUCAAAUGGUUUGGCUCACCUCACCUCCUUCCUCUCUCUGGAAACAAAUGCCUUGGCAUGAAAUGAGACUCCUCCUCUGCUCACGAGUCAUCAGGUAAAUUAUGUUUACAGGGGUGGAAUCCCAAAAUAAAUGUGUAAAGUGAUAAAAACAAAUGUAGCUAGUUGUGCAAGACAUGUUAUAGAUAAAAUGAUAAGUAGAGAAUAAUUGUAAAAAUGUGAAUUAUAAAACCAUUCCACGCUACCUGCCCCAAGGAUUAUUUUGUGCAUUCCUCUGUCAAAGAAGGCAAUCCUAACGAAUUGUCAUUCUCCUCGAUCAUCAGUUUCCAGGUCAUGGAGGAGAGGAGAACGGUACGGCAAUGCUUAAACUUUCCUUGGUUAAUGACAAACCAAAAAUGGAGCACAAUGCCUGAAAGAAGGUUUUGCUCGAUCAACUAUUAAAUCAGACUUCUCUGUGAGAUGUUCUGGGCUCUAUUUUGUAGAUUAUGAUUACACUGAAGUAAUAUAGAACAUUCCUAUCAAAUACAUUGGCUUAUAAUUUGUUAUAUAUUUCACUACAUUCAAUACCAAAUGACUAUUGAUACUCACACACAAUUCAAUAGUUAAAACGUAUCCCUUGAUCUAGGCCUGAAGAGAACGUUUUGAUUUAACCAACCGCUCCCAAUGAUGGAUUUGAUGCACAUAACUUUAUAGAUAACGACAAUUUGAUGUACAUAACUUUAUAGAUAACGACAAUGUCUAUUACUAAAAAAUAAACUGAAUCUCUUUACUAAAGGUGAGAGACAAGCAUGAAUUUCUAUGUGCUUUUUGUUUUACUUAAACUUGUCGCCUGCCUUCGCGCCUCGCCUUUGGGAAAAUGACUCCGAUAGUUAGGACGCAGACAUGA